CUACUCCCGUACUCCGACCACGCACCAACCGUGUUCUCGAAAAAAAAAAACACACCAACCAUUCACGCAACCAGAUGCGAUCUCGCGUACCUCGCGGCUCCUCCCCCGUCCCCGCCGUCGCCGGCGCCCCGGCCGGCUCCUUCCUUCCUCGCCGCCGCACCCAGCCACUCCUCCCACUCCCCGCCCCCUCGCCGCCGCUUUCUUCUGCGUUGGAGACUUUGCAGCCCCAUGCCCGAGUCCAAGUUCCAAAUUUUAUCCCCUCCUCCGGCACGGCGCCGGCGACCCGGCGGCUCCGGCCUUCCUCUCCGCCGCACGCCUAGCCCCUCCCCUCUUCCUUGCCUCCCCGCCCCCGCUUCCGCCGAUGGCCCCUUAGCAUCACCGCGGAUCCAGCUUCCCCCCCUUCCCCCGGGCCGGCGCCGGCGCCAACGGCGGCCCGCCGAUGGCGCCUUCUCGUCCCCAAAUCCGCCGCUGCAGCCUACACGGGCCACAGCUGAUUAUCCUCAAGGCCAACGGCGUCAAGCUGGUCCAGAUCUGCCAGUGCUGCUCAGGAAUCUCGGGCGGGCGCACAUCCUGACCUGGCGAGCAGGCGACCUGUGGUAGGAUGCACACAUCUGCAACAAGAUUUGGAGCCCCGUUUCCAUGUCUCUUAUAGCAUGAAUCUGAAACAGGAGAAGAUGACGAAAUCGACGAAGCUGUAGAUAUUUGGAACUUGUGGAAAUGUAGCUCUGGGUUGGAUGUCCUUUCUAAUGUUUUUGGGGCCGACAUUCUUUCUACCUUUUGAUUCAGGCUACCAACGAAUUGGAAAGGCCAAGAUGAAGGAGCAAUCAUCAAGCCACCCGCACAUCAGGUGGUGGAAUGCCUACCUGGUGGCUUCCCGCUCAUUCCCAUGAGUCGUCAUGUUCAACCUGUUACUGAGUUGAUCCUGCAAGCCAAUGAAGAUUCAGACGAUGAGGUUGCUCUGGAGGCUUGUGACUCUGGUUUGUGUUCUGUUAACAUGCAGAAUCUGGCUCAGGCAGGUGAUUUCCAGAAGGAGCAGGAAGCUGCUGUAUUGGUGCUAUAGCAGAAGGGGCAUUUUCAGGGUUCGUUGCAAAGCUCCUCCUAGCAAUGGUUGCAGUAUUUGUUCUUGGUAUGGCGAUUUCGAUCCUGUAACACGAGACCCUUUUUUCACAUAUACUAGAUGCGAUUGAUGCCUUGAAGAAGUCAGCUCCCCUUGGAUGGUGCAGCGCAGCAAAUCAAAGUUGAUUCAUUCAUUCUUUGGAGGAAUCAGCUUGUGCUAGCAAUGCUUGGAGGAAUCAGCUUAUUGAGCUGGAUUUGACCUGUUAGACUGCUUCAAUGAACAUGCAUGGUUGUUGCUCCUGCUUGUCUAGAUAGAUGCCUGUGUUGUUUUCUUGUUACGUACCCUUGCACUUUGAUGCUUGAUGAUCCAUGUUCAUUGUUAGAAUGUUUGUUUUGGUCAGGAAAAGCAUGCAGUAGUAGUAUUUGUUUGUAGUAUUUGUUUUGGGUAGUACGUAUAGUAUAAUCUCUCUGUAGACUGUAGCCAUCCAGCUGCAUGACCUGACGGCACUGUGGCACUGUGGCCUGUAGCAGUAGUAGGCUUUUCAGUGUAGCAAACCCCACCCAUGCCCUGCUCUCUUUUCAGUCUAGAGGGUGAGUAGACUAGACUAGUCGAUGGGUCAAAAGCGAGCGGCGCUCCGAUGCCCGUGCGCGUUAGUUACUGCUACUAUCCGUAUUUGUUUACCCCCCACACACUAUUUUUACUACUCCUUGGGUGAAGCCUGUCACGUUAUUUACUGUACUGUACUACUAGUAGGAGUACUUGGGUGAAGUCUUUACUGUU